rnacentral:tRNA from 1 species
AGUACUACGCCGGAUGAACGGAAAUCAUUGAUGUUGAUUAACAUGGGAUUAAUACGUCUCUGGUACUA